rnacentral:rRNA from 1 species
UACGUAGGGGGCUAGCGUUGUCCGGAAUCAUUGGGCGUAAAGAGCGUGUAGGCGGCCCGGUAAGUCCGCUGUGAAAGUCGGGGGCUCAACCCUCGGAUGCCGGUGGAUACUGUCGGGCUCGAGUACGGAAGAGGCGAGUGGAAUUCCUGGUGUAGCGGUGAAAUGCGCAGAUAUCAGGAGGAACACCUAUUGCGAAGGCAGCUCGCUGGGACGUUACUGACGCUGAGAGACGAAAGCUAGGGGAGCGAAUGGG